rnacentral:piRNA from 1 species
CUGCAAAUACGUCAGAUGUGUGAGGC